rnacentral:rRNA from 1 species
AUUGAACGCUGGCGGCAGGCCUAACACAUGCAAGUCGAGCGAGCGGCGGACGGGUGAGUAAUGUCUGGGAAACUGCCGGAUGGAGGGGGAAAACUACUGGAAACGGUAGCUAAUACCGCAUACCAUAAGAUGUGACCAGAGGGGAUUGGCUAGUAGGUGGGGUAACGGCUCACCUAGGCGACGAUCCCUAGCUGGUCGGAGAGGAGGACCAGCCACACUGUACUUGAGCCCCGGCCCAGACUCCUACGGGAGUCAGCAGUGGGGAAUAUUGCACAAUGGGCGCAAGCCUGAUGCCGCCAUCCCGCGUGUGUGAAGAAGGCCUUCGGGUUGUAAAGCACUUUCAGCGGGGAGGCGUUACCCGCAGAAGAAGCACCGGCUAACUCCGUGCCAGCAGCCGCGGUAAUUC